rnacentral:rRNA from 1 species
AUGCCCCGGAAGGCAUCCCCUCUUCCGUCUACUUCCAUCGGUAAUUUACUUGGAGCUAUAUUUUUAUUCACCACAUGUUAUGUGUUUUGCUUGGAGCAUCUUGUAUUAUUUGCGUCUUUGAUUGUUAGUUUACCACAAUCAUCCUUGCUGUACACACCUUUUGAGAGAGCCAUACAUGAUUUAGAAUUUGCUAGAAUACUCUAUGUGCUUCACUUAUAUCUUUUGAGCUUGAUAGUUUUGCUCAUAGUGCUUCACAUAAACCUUUUUGAGCGUAAUAAUUUUUGCUCUAGUGAUUCACUUAGAUCUUUUAGAGCACGGUGGUGGAUUUGUUUUAAAGAAACUAUUGAUCUCUCAUGCUUCACUUAG